GACGAACGCUGGCGGCGUGCUUGACACAUGCAAGUCGAACGGAAAGGCCUGCUUUCCCUUGUGGAUUGCGGGUACUCGAGUGGCGAACGGGUGAGUAACACGUGAGUGAUCUGCCCCCAACUUGGGUAUAAGCCUGGGAAACUGGGUCUAAUUCCCGAUAGUACUGCAGGGUGGUGCCUGUGGUGGAAAACGAUUUUCUAGUGGUUGGGGAUGAGCUCGCGGCCUAUCAGCUUGUUGGUGGGGUAAUGGCCUACCAAGGCGGCGACGGGUAGCCGGCCUGAGAGGGUGGACGGCCACAUUGGGACUGGGAUACGGCCCAGACUCCUACGGGAGGCAGCAGUGGGGAAUAUUGCACAAUGGGCGGAAGCCUGAUGCAGCGACGCCGCGUGGGGGAUGACGGCCUUCGGGUUGUAAACUCCUUUCGACCGCGAGGAAGCCACCUGGUUGGAAGGGUGGUGACGGUAGUGGUAGAAGAAGCACCGGCUAACUACGUG
rnacentral:rRNA from 1 species